AUUAAAUUCAUUUUCAUUUCCUAAAAAGGUAUUUUAAACCAGUAAAUUAAUUUUGGUGAAAUUAAGAUCGUAAACAACAAACUGAUGACACAAAUAAAAAAAUAUUGUCGCGUUGCUUGCACUCCGCGUGGUCACAUAAUUGGUAGUCAGUACUUUUAUUCACUUUAGUAGCGUGUUGUACGUUCAAAAGGAAGGACGUGUCUUUGUAAACCAUUCUCAAUACCAGACCAUAUUAAAGAAAGUUUUAUUUACUUACGUUGUGAAUGAGUAUAUGACUCAGAGAGUAAAGAGAAUAACUGAAGAAUCGAAUAAGAUGGUGAUGAUCGUCAAAUUGUUCUACUUAUCGAUGAGCAUUUUGGUUGUGUCUAGCAAUCCAUAUAAGAGGGAUGACACAACCAUGACACAAAUAACAUUAAAAAUAAUCCCUUUGAAGGAAGCAGUUGAAUCCAACACAAUACCUCAAAGUCAAGUAAAAUACUCAGAAACUCAGAAUAAUGUGAGAAAUCAGGAAAAUCAGAACAGAUUAUUGCAAUAUAUAUUGAAUUUCUUCGAAAAAGCAGGGAAUAAUUUGUCUCCGAAGCCAUCAAAUCCACAAUUAUUUACUAUGUUGAGGAUUUUAAUAUUUCACAAAAAUGAACAUUCAGUAACUAAUAAACAUCCAGAAGUGGUUCCAAUCAAAGAAAAAAGACCAUCGGCUACAAACGCAGUGCCCACGACCUCAAGAGCAAUUUCCUCAACCACGAAAGAGAUAUCUACCACCACAGAAGCACUAAUCACUACCCCAAAAGCAGUAUCUACCACCACAGAAGCAUUAAUCACUACCCCAAAAGCAGUAUCUACCACCGAACAAUAUUACGAUGAUGAUGAUGACACUGCUAGGCCAAUAAAGUUCAUAGACACAAAAUCAUUUGACUUUAGUAAAUUAGAUAAAUUAUCCAGAAAAAUGCCAGAAGUGGAACAUGGUAGUAUCCAAUAUACAACGUAAUGAAACAUCUACUUCAGUAUUAUAAUUAUUAAAUAGAUUUAGAAAAUUAAAAUAAUUUGAAGAACACAUCAACGCAUUUGAUGGAGCAAGUUACCAGGUUCUUGUGCUUCGCGUUGUGUACCUUCGUCGUAACUUGUAAAUCGAAACACGAAGAGAAAACAUGGCAAGCAGUGAAUGAUGAUAACAUAGUAACAAUAACUCUAUAUAACCGACAACAUAUACAGAGCUAUGCAAACUUUCCAUCGUAUGAGAGUGGAUUAUAUUACAACAGAAACUAUUUUGAAACACAGUUUUACAGGUUCAUGGAAAACUUGUUUAGCAAUAUACAGGGUGAUCUACUUUCAAGAAUAUCUCCUCAAAAUUUAUUCCCAUAUUAUUUUAUAAUCCCUAAAUUUUUUAAUAGGAGUAAUGGUUUUCAUUAUAUACCUAAAAAUCCUAAUGUGUUCCAAACUCCUACAGUACCCACUACUAGUAAAACACCAAAUAAA